rnacentral:rRNA from 1 species
AGUCACUGACAUUAGAUACCCGUGUAGUCCAGGGUGUAAACGCUGCAGACUUGGUGUUGGGAACCCGUUCGGGGGUGCUCAGUGCCGGAGAGAAGUUGUUAAGUCUGCUACUUGGGGAGUACGUCCGCAAAGGAUGAAAACUUAAAGGAAUUGGGCGGGGGGAGCACCGCAACGGGAGGAGCGUGCGGUUUAAUUGGAUUCAACGACCGAAAAACUCACCAGCAGCGACUGUUACAUGAAAGUCAGGUUGAUGACCUUACUAGAUUUUCAG